rnacentral:tRNA from 1 species
UGGGGCGCGCCAAGCGGUAAGGCAGCGGUUUUUGGUACCGCCAUCCCCAGGUUCGAAUCCUGGCGCCCCAGCCA